rnacentral:rRNA from 1 species
UACGUAGGGUGCGAGCGUGUCCGGAAUUAUUGGGCGUAAAGAGCUCGUAGGCGGCUCGUCGCGUCGACCGUGAAAACCCGCGGCUUAACUGCGGGCUUGCGGUUGAUACGGGCGGGCUAGAGUUCGGUAGGGGAGACUGGAAUUCAUGGUGUAGCAGUGAAAUGCGUAGAGAUCAUGAGGAAGACCAGUGGCGAAGGCGGGUCUCUGGACAGUUCCUGACACUGAGACACGAAGGCCAGGGGAGCAAACGGG